rnacentral:rRNA from 1 species
CCUCCAAGUUAGGGAUAAGCCCCCGAAAGGGGGUCUAAUACCGAAUAAUAUCCCUGAAAGGCAUCUUUUUGGGAUCAAAGAUCCGCAAGGAUUGCUUGGAGAUGGAUCCGCGCUCCAUUAGCUUGUUGGUGAGGUAAAAGCUCACCAAGGCUACGAUGGAUAGCCGGCCUGAGAGGGUGUUCGGCCACACUGGGACUGAGAUACGGCCCAGACUCCUACGGGAGGCAGCAGUAGGGAAUAUUGCGCAAUGCCCGCAAGGGUGACGCAGCAACGCCGCGUGGGUGAUGAAGCUUUUCGGAGUGUAAAACCCUGUCAGAGGGGAAGAAAAUCCUACCUUGUGUGGGACUGACGGUACCCUCAGAGGAAGCUCCGGCCAACUCCGUGCCAGCAGCCGCGGUAAUACGGGGGGAGCAAGCGUUGUUCGGAAUCACUGGGCGUAAAGGGUGCGUAGGUGGGCAGGUAAGUCAGACGUGAAAACUCCAGGCUCAACCUGGAGCCGGCGUUUGAAACUACUUGUCUUGAGUACGGGAGAGGGAAGUGGAAUUCCUGGUGUAGCGGUGAAAUGCGUAGAUAUCAGGAAGAACGUCGGUGGCGAAGGCGGCUUCCUGGCCCGAUACUGACACUGAGGCACGAAAGCUAGGGGAGCAAACAGGAUUAGAUACCCUGGUAGUCCUAGCUGUAAACGAUGGGCACUAGGUGUUGGAGGUAUCGACCCCUUCAGUGCCGCAGUUAACGCAUUAAGU